rnacentral:lncRNA from 1 species
AUGCAGUUAGGGGCUGCCCCGGAGCAAGGAGCAACUCCUUAUUCCCCUUUAUUUUUAAGCGAGGAGGGUCUUCCUUUUUUUUCCUCCCUGCUUUCCCUAGCCGAAGGGGGUUUCUCGGUCCUUCCCUCUCCCGAAACCGGUGCUUUGGGUGCUUUGAAUCCGGUGCGGACAAGCUUCGGCGUGGGGGAGAUCCACCGAGGCCAAAGCGUUUUGGGGGUUUGUUUUGGGGGGGGGGGUGGUUUUGUUUUGUUUUCCUUUUUUUUAACGGAAGCCUCCCGUUGUGAGUAUGGGAUCGGCCACCCCCUCCGUCACCCCAAAUUCACUGUGAACGAGGAAGAGCCCAGUCCAGCUGUCGCCAUCCGCCCUCGGCCUUUUGUGGGUUAUUUUUUUCCCCUCGACGCCGCUUUAGAAAUAGAAAUCGUGGGGUUUUUUUGUUGUUUUUUAAAAGAUGCCGGCGGCCCGGCUCCCGCGUCGCUCCUGCGGAUCACGGCCGUUCCCGCGCCGUUGGGAUGGGCUGCGGGUCACGAAAGCCUCUGGGCACUUUCCUUCUCCUCCGCUCGCUCCUCCCGCCGCUGGCUGCCCCUCUGUAUCAUCCCACUUCCCGCGGGAGCCUCAACCGGAAACAAUAAAAGGGCUUUUCCGUCGGCGACGGCUGCAGCAGGAUUCGGCCGCGCCGGCGCCCUUCGGUUUGCGGCGUGCGAGCCGCCCCCCCCCCCCCCAAAUAGUCUCAAAAUCUGGUUUUCUGGUUCUUCCCUUUUGUCAGUUUUGCUCUAUCUAUAUUUUUUUUUCCUCCUCUCUUCCUGUUUUACCAAAAAAAGCCGUGUCCGUGGCCUCGCUGCCGCCACGGGGCGAAGGGACUUUCGGGAGGGAGCCGUGAUUUGCUUUGGGCGAGGUUUUAAGUGGGGGGAAAAAAGCAUCCUGGAUUUGUGCGAGCCUUCCGCCUCCAUCCGCGCUCCCCGUUCGGGAUCCGCCAAGGUCCUGAGCACCUUCAGGGCCCGGGGACCCCUUUGGCCCCAGCCCUGCUGUGUCCCCUCCUGUCGCCAGCCCGGCCCGUGUCCCCCUGUCCCCGGGGCUGACCCUGGGCCCAGAGCAGCAAGACGCAGGACUUGGAAUCGCUCCUUUAUUCCGCAGGGCCCGGGCGCAGGAUGA